rnacentral:misc_RNA from 1 species
UCCCCGUUACCGGGGCAGUCUGAAUAGAAAAAUACAACUAUUCACAAGGGUUGCGCUCGUUGAUGGACUUAACCAAACAUCUCACGACACGAGCUGACGACGGCCAUGCAGCACCUGUCACUUGGCUCCAAAAGGCACUCUCUACUUUCAUAGUGAUUCCAAGGAUGUCAAGUCCUGGUAAGGUUCUUCGUUUAACAUCGAAUUAAAGAACAUGAUCCACCGCUUGUGCGGGUCCCCGUCAAUUCCUUUAUGUUUCAGUCUUGCGACCGUACUCCACAGGUGGGAUACUUAACGCGUUAGCUUCGCUACGGAAGGGGUCGAUACCCCCCACAGCUAGUAUCCAUCGUUUACGGCGUGGACUAC